GACGUCUACAUUAGAUACCCGUGUAGUCCCAGCCGUAAACUAUGCGCGUUAGGUGUAUCGGUGACCACGAGUUACCGAGGUGCCGAAGGGAAACCGUGAAACGUGCCGCCUGGGAAGUACGGUCGCAAGGCUGAAACUUAAAGGAAUUGGCGGGGAGCACCACAACGGGUGGAGCCUGCGGUUUAAUUGGACUCAACGCCGGGAAGCUCACCGGAUAGGACAGCAGAAUGAUUGCCGGGCUGAAGACCCUGCAUGACUAGCUG
rnacentral:rRNA from 1 species